AAAUGGAAACCAGCAAUGAGUUCUACAAAACAACAACCAAAACAAGAAAUAGGUCCUCCAUACGCAACAAUAUAAAAACAGCCUGAACAUGGAAAAAUAGCGUCAGGAAGAUCAGAGCCCAGAAUAUGCUGAAGUUUAUGAAACACACUAUUUCAAGGGAUUUUGGGGGGGUGGCGGGAGGGGGUAUGGUCCCUGAAAGAAAAGGAACAAGAAAGAGUUAGGCUAUGCUUGGAGUUGGUGAUGGAUGUUAAGAAAAUGACAGAAAGCUGAACAACUCAAAUACCCUUUUGCUUCCAUAUUCCCUAUCAAGGAGACUCCCUCUUCAACCUGGAAAGGAUAGAACAAACGUAUUUGAGAGGGAAACGAAGCCAAAGAUAAGUGAAAAGAUAGAAAAAGAAAACCUGGGUUUGAAAUGAGUUCACAAUUCUAGACUCUAGAUAUAAUUCUAGAAUUCCAUCCCAAGAGACUUAACAAUAAGAGAAACUGCAGAUGUAAUCACAAAACCGUGUCACACAGUCCUGGAGAUGAGUAAAAGAAAAAUUAAGCAUCUGGAUGACGAGGGGCUGAGCCAGAACUAAGAGUGAGGCGGUGAAGGCAGAACACUUGAAGGCAGAAGGAAAAACACUUUGUUCUGUGUGUGCCAGGGAUGGAGCGGCCGAGGCCGAAGGAAGCGUGCCCUCUGUCCUGAAAACGGCCCCCAGACAGCACCUGGCUCAAAGCACAUGACGAGCACACCCUUUACCCCCUUUUCACAAGAAACCAUACGUCAGUAUGAAGAAACACAAGCCCGAGUCCUACCGAGGUCCAGGAUAACCUUAACAUAAUAUCUACCUCCAGUAGCUGCAAAGAGUUAAAACACAAAAAGUUGAGCUGAAGGAUUACCUGUGUCCACCAAAUAAAGGAUGAGGCUACAGAGCCCACAGUUAGCAUCUCAUGGCACAACAUUCGCCCAAAAAACAGUGGCAAUUUAAACCUUUGUUAUUUGAUAGGCUCAGAAGCAGUGGAGCUUGAGAAGGCAAAAAAAAAAAACCCCGACCAAGAAAACAGAAUUUAGUUGAAAUGGCAAAAAGUGCUAAAAAUUUAUACUGAAAGUCCUAGGAAUUCUGGGAAAUUGUCAGUGUUAUGAAGAAAGAAGAGGACAAGUCAGCGAGUCCUCUGUGAGGAUCAUAAAUGUCAAUAAAAAGAAUGGCACAGAAGGUAUGAAAA